AAACGUUCAAAGUAUUUACUUUGACUAAAAAAACCGAAGAUUACGCUGAAAUCAGAACAACAAGAAACUCGACAGUGAUUAGAGGUAAAAAGUCAAGCAAGGGAGUUGACAUACCCUGAUCAAUUUCAAACUCCUCAAAUUCAUCGUCGUCUUCAAAAAGAUCAAUCUUCGCGUCCUCGGUAGCUGCCUUUGGUUGCUCAGUAGUUGCCAUUGUCAGUCACUCAAAGCAAAACUACACAUCAAAUUUUUCAUAAAUAUAAGAAAUGUACAGAUCGUGGGUAAAUAACCUAUGUUGCCACGAAAGCCCUAGUUCAGAAAAUAAAUAAACAAAUCGAAAAAAUCAAACCAAAUAAUCAAUAAUCAGCUAACUAGUUAAUAUAUCAGUCAACACAACCAACAGACAUCGAGACUGCAAGCAAAAAUCGAGCAAAUGAAACGAACGUAUGACUUCCAUCACCGCAAAGAGGAAUUUGGAGAAAUAUAAAAUCAGAGCAUCCUUAAAAUAUGUAAAAAUAUGGAAAUACGAAGAAAAAUGAAUCGAAUAAAAGACAGAUGUAAUUACCUUACCAGCGUAUACUUGGUUCUUCGAUCCUAAAACCAAAAAAGAUCGGAAAAAGAAGAACCAGAGAUUAGCACAGCAAAUCCAAUCGAAGUAAGGUAGUCAAGAACGGGGUGUUUGGAAUGAAGAGGAAGGGGGGCUAGGGUUUUGAGAGGAGCGUACCUGAAAAAUCUGGAGGAAUCUUGUAGAUGGGGAAAGGGAUUAGGUCAUAAGCAAGUUUAUAUACUCUUUUUGCAAAAUCCAAAAAUGUUUUUUUUCUCACUCUCCUCCUCCCUAAAGGUUAUUCUACAUUGAAUAAUUUUUUGUUGGCCCUAAAAAGGAGCAAAAGUUUUCAAUUAAGCUCCAAAAAGUGAAAAUGUUGUAAUUUGGCUCUUAUGAUACAUUAUAAAAUUGAAUCUAACUUUAUUGACAAUACCGUUAUUGAUUGUAAAUCAACAAUCAUGCUCCCAAUGAGUUGAGAAGCUGAAUAUUUUUUUUAUGAAGAAGCUGAAUAAUCACUCAUUAGGACUUUUAACAAUAUCUUGCAUGAUCAAAAAAGGAAAUAUAAGCUUCGUUGGAGGUAAAAUUGAAGCAUUUCUAGUUUUUGGGGCUUUAUUAAUUACUUUGCAUGAUAAAUAUGAAGUAACUUAUUUGCUAUAUAGCGGAUUUGACUUCUCUUCAAUGGAUACUCUCUUCAUUUUUCACAGUAUACAUAUCUUCAUUUAUUAAUAAGAGUUAGGAUUAGUCGAACUUAAAAUGAUUAUGUUCCUAAUAAUGAAAACAUGUUAUGCAUCUAGAUGUACAUUGUAAAAUAUGGAAAGAGAAUACACUAGAAAGGAGCCAAUUCCAUGGUAAAAGUUGAUUAUACUAAGUGAUCUACAAAUUUGUGAAGUAAAUUACUACUCACAAUGUAGGGAAAAUUUUAAUGUAGCUUGAAUUUUGGUACCCUUUUUAUCAACUCUACUACCCUAAACUUUGUUAGAUUUAUACAUCUUCCCACUUAGCCGUUGCAUCUAUUUCAUUUUCCGUUUCUAAGGGAAUGCUUGAUUCAAGUUUAGGAAUCGGAAUUGUAAUUGGAAUCAUGUCCAAAAUUUGAGUAUGGGUUCUCAUCAAGGAUAUCAUUAUAAUAAUUAGUGUUUGGUAUAUACUUAUAAGUUUUUGGAAUCAAUUUUUUUUCGUUUUCUUGUCUUUAUUUUUUUUUUCUUCCUUCCCAUUUCCUGCUUCCUUCUUCCUAGCCUUUAAAUACUCAUGUUUCACCAAAUUCUCUUAAACCACCACCAAUCAACUUUAAAAUUUUGUGGAGCAUGGGAGAGCGACUGACAA
rnacentral:lncRNA from 1 species